rnacentral:lncRNA from 1 species
GAACUCCUCCACAGCAUCACCUGGGCUUGGCCUCUUACAGUGUCUCAGCUUCUCUUUAACAUAUCCCUCACCUUUUUUCACCUUCCUGCAGAGUGCUGACACCAUCACAGUAUGUUCCCUUUUCAACCCUGGACACGGUUCAAAAGCAGCUAAAGCAGACAAGAAUCUGGGGCAGCCAAUAUUAUACCACCUGCCAAAACUUGACACAAACAAUCUGGAAGCCAAAAAUUGCACAUACUGUGUUUUUCAAAUAUUUUUGAUCUGCUGUUGGUUGACUCCUUGGGUUAGGAACCUGUGGAUAUAGAGGGCCAACUGUACUAAGAAUCUUCAGCUCCCUCUCCUGGCAGAUCCCUGGUGAGUGAGGUGGGCCUAUGUUGAGUGCUCCUUUUGCCUGAGUGAGAGCCUAGAACCAGAGACUGCAUGCCCUAAUCCAGGGUUUCUUGACCAUGGCACCAUUGAUAGUUGGGGUCAGAUAAUGUUUUUGCUGUGGGGGCCAUCCUUGUAGGAUGUUAGCAGCAUUUCUGACCACUACCCACUAGAGGCCAAAAGUACCCUCCCUCCAGUAGUGACCUUCCCUCCAGUGUAACCAAAGUAGAUCCAGACAUUGCCAGAUGUUCCCAGAGGAAGACACCCAUGACUGAGGACCACUGGGGCCAGUUCUUUCCCCUUCCCUAAGACCAGUGCAUGAGCCUCAGCUGUUACCACUU